rnacentral:piRNA from 1 species
UACGUAGGGUUUCGAAACUAA